UCAACUUUGGACGCAGUGCCUUUUAUUUUUUUUAUUAGUUUUUUUUCAAAUACGCGUUCUAAUUUAGAUCUGGAUCUGAGAUCUCUCACGCGAUCACACCAUUGUCUUCAACCUCCAGCCAUCGCCGCUCAUCGUCUUCCCCACACAGACACCGCUGCAGUCCUCCGCCUCACGCCCUCGCCUCACGCCCAGUUUCCGCUGCUCCUCGCCGCCAGACGCAGCCGCCAGUCGCCCCGCUCCUCGCCGCUACUGCUCGCCGGGAAGGUAUGACGCACCAUCCCGGAACCCUCGCCACCUUCCAGAGCCUCCCGUCGCCACCUCGUCGCUGCUCGCCGCUGGUCGCCAGAAUACUAAGAUCAUUGCAACUAACAUCAUACAAAUUGAAGUGUGAUAAGGAACCUCUAAAUUCUAGACUUGGGCCACCUGACUAUCAUCCGCAGACGCUUAAUUGCCCUAUAGAGACACUCAACCGAGAUUAUGUGCAAUCUGGUUACAGGGAAACAGUUGACGGGCUUAGGAAGCUAGAGAAAUUUCACUAUCACAGGUUCCGGCCUUUUCAAAGCCUGUCAUAAUUAAAUGUAAAGAGGCAAUCAGAAAAUGCCACAGAACAAUCAAUGAGUCUCGGGCUAAAAAACGGGAUUGCAAAGCCAUGUUAAGAAGGGGAGAAUGAGUCAAGAGAAGUUUGAAAAAACUCUCUCUCUACUAAAAGGUGCCCUUGACUAUGAAAGCUUUAGAGAUGUGGACAUGGUUAUUGAGGCUGUUAUUGAGGACAUAAACUUAAAGCAGAAAAUAUUUGCUGAUCUUGAAAAGUAUUGCCCUCCACAUUGCAUUCUUGGAAAGAGGGGAGUCUUUGAGGAUUAUGAAGAUAAAGCAGUGCAGAAGGAUGUUGGAGAUGAUAGUGUGUAUGAUGAGGAUGAAGAGGAUAAAAUUUGGGAAGAAUAGCAGGUGAGGAAGGGCCUGGGAAA